UUUUGUUCCCUCAGUUCUGGGUUUUUUGGUGCAUCUUUCUGUUUUUAGGACAAUUAUUUUGCCUUUUCCAUUGGGUAAUUUGUUCUUGACUCUUGUUGCCCUUUGGGCGGUUUUUUUCCUGUUUUUCAUGUACUCAGGUUUGCUUGUCUGGUCAAUUUUUUUUAAUCAAUUGCAGUAAAAUUUGAUGAUUUUCAUCUUCAUUUCUUGAAACUAAAAGAUCUGUGAAUUUGUCCAUACGAAUAAAAUUAGCAUCUCCUUCUUUUUAUUUGAUAUAAUAAGGUCUUUAUUGUUUUCAUCAGAUUGAAGUAGAUAUCUGGUAUUUUAAAAAUGGAAUAUACAAGAAAAUGGUGUUAUUUGCUUGGUCAGAAAUUUUAGACGUGAGGCUUGCUUUUCCAUGAUCCAGAUCCCUUAUCUUGUCGGCCUUACCAUCGAUGGGAUAAUCCCAAAAAUAUCUCCCAUCAGAAAUUCUUAGCCACACAAUCAGUGGAUUCUCCCUGUUGGAUAUGGACCUCUACCUAACCUUUCUUCUAGGUCACAAGUCCAGCAGUUGUGAUCGCCUGAUGGAGAUGUUUGGCAUGAUAUAUCCCUGUUUGGGUCCACCGGAUGAGUGGCCUGGUUCACUGAGAGGUUAGUGUUUGUAUUGCUGCAGAACUGUUUGUGUAUGGAUGCCUGUGGAGCUAGAUAGAGAUAUCAUUGCUGUUCAAGUGCUUGGCUUUUGUGAGCUUUUGUUGA